rnacentral:rRNA from 1 species
GAUCCUGGCUCAGGAUGAACGCUGGCGGCGUGCCUAAUACAUGCAAGUAGAACGCUGAAGCUUGGUGCUUGCACCGAGCGGAGGAGUUGCGAACGGGUGAGUAACGCGUAGGUAACCUGCCUCUUAGCGGGGGAUAACUAUUGGAAACGAUAGCUAAUACCGCAUAAAAGUCGACAUUGCAUGAUGUUGACUUGAAAGGUGCAAAUGCAUCACUAAGAGAUGGACCUGCGUUGUAUUAGCUAGUUGGUGAGGUAACGGCUCACCAAGGCGACGAUACAUAGCCGACCUGAGAGGGUGAUCGGCCACACUGGGACUGAGACACGGCCCAGACUCCUACGGGAGGCAGCAGUAGGGAAUCUUCGGCAAUGGACGGAAGUCUGACCGAGCAACGCCGCGUGAGUGAAGAAGGUUUUCGGAUCGUAAAGCUCUGCUGUAAGAGAAGAACGAGU